UACGUAGGCAGCGAGCGUUGUUCGGAGUUACUGGGCGUAAAGCGUGCGUAGGCGGUGUCUUAAGUUUGUUGUGAAAUCUCCCGGCCUAACCGGGAGGGUGCGGCGAAUACUGAGAUGCUGGAGUGCCGGAGAGGUAAGCGGAAUUCCUGGUGUAGCGGUGAAAUGCGUAGAUAUCAGGAGGAACACCAAUUGCGAAGGCAGCUCGCUGGGACGUUACUGACGCUGAGACGCGAAAGCGUGGGGAGCAAACAGG
rnacentral:rRNA from 1 species